AGAACCUCGACCAAUAUAUUCAUAUAAAAUAAACCUGAAACAAAAAUAUCCUCUUGCGUCUCACCGCAAAAAUCUCCUUGUAAGAGCGGGAAAAAGAAAACUGGGCUUUUGAUUUCUCAAUAGCUGAAUUAGGUAUAAAAUAAAAUGGUAAACGUAAUGGAUCAAGAUCAACAAUGGCUACUCAAUUGCCUGAAUACCACUCUCGAUCCUAACCAGGAAACCCGUUCCUUCCCCGAAGCCUCUCUCCAUCCAGGCUUUGGAGUCGCGCAUUAUCAAAAGUUGCUGUAAAUAAGGAACUUCCUUUUGGAUUGCGUCAGAUAUCCUCUUUCUUAGGUUUUGUGAUUUAUUUUAACUUUUUUUUUUAAUUUGAUUUGUUCCGAGAAUUAACUUGAUAAUCACCUAGCUGCGGUACUAUUAACGCAAUUCAUUAAGAAACAUUGGCAUGAAGGCGAGGAUUCGCUUGAGCCUCCUGUUGUCGCAACUGAAGGGAAGCAAGUUACACGGAGACUACGUUUACCUUCGUUGGAUGAUUCUCACCGGAAGAUUUGUACCGCAAUUAGUAUGGCUACUGCUUCGAUUUCUGUAAUGACUAGCCUGAGAAUUGGCCUGAUUUAGUGCCGUUUCUUUUGAAGUUGAUUAACGAUCAAACUCAUAUGAGUGGACGUAAGUCUUUGGAAUGUUCGGUUUGGAUGUGGUGAAGUUUUUCUCUCCCCCCUUUAAAUUUGAGAUUGUCAUGUACAUUCCAAGCAAGACAUUUUUAAAUACAUAAAUAAAUCCUCAAGUUCUAUUUGUCAAAUUGAAUCUUGAGUUUGGAUAUCUUUAUAAGUGACCAGUUCAUUGAAACUUGACUCGAGAAAGAUGGCUAUAGUUGAUGUUGGAAUUUGUAGUGCAUGGAGCUCUAAGGUGUUCGGCCCUUCUCUCUGGGGAUCUAGAUGAUACUGUGGUGCCAACACUAGUACCGGUUUUGUUCCCAUGCUUGCAUACAAUUGUAUCGUCACCUCAGGCUUCUCAACCCUGAUCUGGAAAGCUCUGGAUCUGUUUUUGUUGGGAGUUACAUUUUACAGCUUAUUUUACACCUGCCAUUGCAAAUGGCAACGCAUAUCCGAGACCUGGUUGCUGCUCUUGUUCAACGAAUGCAAUCGGCUCAAAUAGUGGGGUUGAAAAGCUCAUUGCUGCUUAUUAUA